UCCGAUUUGGCACCGGCGGUCUCCCAUGAGUCCCCGGCAUGACCCGCUGGCAACAUGGGACAGGGGUUGCGCUCGUUGCGCCACUUAAGGCAACACCUCACGGCACGAGCUGACGACAGCCAUGCAGCACCUUUGCGAGCGCCCCGAAGGGAAGCCCCCUUUCAGGAGCGGUCGCUCGCAAUUUAGCCCAGGUAAGGUUCUUCGCGUUGCAUCGAAUUAAGCCACAUGCUCCACCGCUUGUGCGGGCCCCCGUCAAUUCCUUUGAGUUUCAUUCUUGCGAACGUACUCCCCAGGUGGUAUGCUUACUGCGUUAACUGCGUCACUGCCCCCGAAGGGACAACAACUAGCAUACAUCGUUUACGGCGUGGACUAC
rnacentral:misc_RNA from 1 species